AUUGAACGCUGGCGGCAGGCCUAACACAUGCAAGUCGAGCGGAUGAAGGGAGCUUGCUCCUGGAUUCAGCGGCGGACGGGUGAGUAAUGCCUAGGAAUCUGCCUGGUAGUGGGGGAUAACGUCCGGAAACGGGCGCUAAUACCGCAUACGUCCUGAGGGAGAAAGUGGGGGAUCUUCGGACCUCACGCUAUCAGAUGAGCCUAGGUCGGAUUAGCUAGUUGGUGGGGUAAAGGCCUACCAAGGCGACGAUCCGUAACUGGUCUGAGAGGAUGAUCAGUCACACUGGAACGGAGACACGGUCCAGACUCCUACGGGAGGCAGCAGUGGGGAAUAUUGGACAAUGGGCGAAAGCCUGAUCAAGCCAUGCCGCGUGUGUGAAGAAGGUCUUCGGAUUGGAAAGCACUUUAAGUUGGGAGGAAGGGCAGUAAGUUAAUACCUUGCUGUUUUGACGUUACCAACAGAAUAAGCACCGGCUAACUUCG
rnacentral:rRNA from 1 species